rnacentral:rRNA from 1 species
AUUGAACGCUGGCGGCAGGCCUAACACAUGCAAGUCGAGCGGAGCGGCGGACGGGUGAGUAAUGCCUAUGAAUCUGCCUGGUAGUUGGGGAUAACGUCCGGCAACGGGCGCUAAUACCGCAUACUCUCAGAUGAGCCUAGGGCGGAUUAGCUAGUUGGUGGGGUAAAGGCCUACCAAGGCGACGAUCCGUAACUGGUCUGAGAGGAUGAUCAUGCACACUGGAACGGAGACACGGCCCAGACUCCUACGGGAGGCAGCAGUGGGGAAUAUUGGACAAUGGGCGAAAGCCUGAUGCAGCCAUGCCGCGUGUGUGAAGAAGGUCUUCGGAUUGUAAAGCACUUUAAGUUGGGAGGCGUUACCAACAGAAUAAGCACCGGCUAACUCCGUGCCAGCAGCCGCGGUAAUAC